CACGUAGUUAGCCGUGACUUUCUCACAGGGUACCGUCACUGUCUUCUUCCCCUGCGACAACAGUUUACAAUCCGAAGACCUUCUUCCUGCACGCGGCGUUGCUGCAUCAGGGUUCCCCCCAUUGCGCAAUAUUCCCCACUGCUGCCUCCCGUAGGAGUCUGGGCCGUGCCUCAGUCCCAAUGCGGCCGAUCAACCUCUCAGUUCGGCUACAGAUCGUCGCCUUGGGUGAGCCGUUACCUCACCAACCAGCUAAUCUGACGCGAGUCCAUCCAUAAGCGAUAAAUCUUUCAAUAUCUACCAUGCGGUAAAUAUUCAAUAUGCGGUAUUAGUCCAGUUUCCAUGGAUUAUCCCCCUCUUAUGGGCAGGUUACUCACGCGUUACUCGCCCGUCCGCCACUUUCCUCUUAAAACGUUCACCCCGAAGGGACUCACACAUAAGAUUCUCGUUCGACUUGCAUGUGUUAGGCACGCCGCCAGCGUUCGUCCUGACGCUACGGAUCAAACUA
rnacentral:rRNA from 1 species